GACGAACGCUGGCGGCGUGCCUAAUACAUGCAAGUCGAACGCAAAGUCCCUGCUUGCACUUUCUUCGCCUGACGAACGGGGGUGUAACCCGUGGGUUAACUCCCCUGCACCUUGGCUUAAGCCUGGGAAACUGUGUUUAAUACCGUAUAGAAGCCCUUUUUAUUGUGAUUGUUGGAAAGUUUUUUCGGUGUAGGGUUAGAUGGCGGCCUAUCAGUUGGUUGGGGGGGGAAUGGCCUACAAGGGCGGCUACGGGUUGCCGGCCUGGGAGGGUGGACGGCCACAAUGGGACUGAGAGACGGCGCAGACGCCUACGGGAGGCAGCAGUGGGGAAUAUGGCACAAGGAGCGCAAGCCAGAGGCAGAGACGCCGGGGGGGGGAUGACGGCCUUCGGGUUGAAAACUCGUUUCGCUAGGGACGAAGCUUUUUGUGACGGUACCUAGAGAAGAAGCACCGGCUAACUACGUG
rnacentral:rRNA from 1 species